UUUCAGAAACCACAAACCUCUCACAGCUGUUUUAAAGAGAUGUACUUAUGAGAAUAGCAGCAAUUUCCAGGGACCAAACUUCAAGUACACAAUGGAUUUUCGGGUGCAGAUUUUCAGCUUCCUGCUAAUCAGUAUCACAGUCUUAGUGUCCAGUGGAGAUAAUGUGCUCCCUCAGUCUCCAACAACCAUGGCUGCAUCUCCUGGGGAGAAGGUCACCAUCACCUGUCAUGCCAGCUCCAGUGGAAUCUACAUGAACUGGCACCAGCAGAAGUCAGGCACCUCUCCCAAACUCUGGAUUUAUGACACAUCCAAACUGGCUUCUGGAGUCCCAGAUCGCUUCAGUGGCAGUGGGUCUGGGACCUCUUAUUCUCUCACAAUCAACACCAUGGAGACUGAAGAUGCUGCCACUUAUUAUUGCCAGCAGUGUUGUAGUACCCCGCCCACACAGUGAUACAGACAUGAACAAUAACCUA